CAGUAGGGAAUCUUCCACAAUGGACGCAAGUCUGAUGGAGCAACACCGCGUGAGUGAAGAAGGGUUUCGGCUCGUAAAGCUCUGUUGUUAAAGAAGAACACGUAUGAGAGUAACUGUUCAUACGUUGACGGUAUUUAACCAGAAAGUCACGGCUAACUACGUGCCAA
rnacentral:rRNA from 1 species